rnacentral:rRNA from 1 species
GGUCACUCCAACCCCUGUGAACAUACCACUUGUUGCCUCGGCGGAUCAGCCCGCUCCCGGUAAAACGGGACGGCCCGCCAGAGGACCCCUAAACUCUGUUUCUAUAUGUAACUUCUGAGUAAAACCAUAAAUAAAUCAAAACUUUCAACAACGGAUCUCUUGGUUCUGGCAUCGAUGAAGAACGCAGCAAAAUGCGAUAAGUAAUGUGAAUUGCAGAAUUCAGUGAAUCAUCGAAUCUUUGAACGCACAUUGCGCCCGCCAGUAUUCUGGCGGGCAUGCCUGUUCGAGCGUCAUUUCAACCCUCAAGCACAGCUUGGUGUUGGGACUCGCGUUAAUUCGCGUUCCUCAAAUUGAUUGGCGGUCACGUCGAGCUUCCAUAGCGUAGUAGUAAAACCCUCGUUACUGGUAAUCGUCGCGGCCACGCCGUUAAACCCCAACUUCUGAAUGUUGACCUCGGAUCAGGUAGGAAUACCCGCUGAACUUAAGCAUAUCAAUAAGCGGAGGAA